UACAUUUUGGUGUAUGAUGCACAAAAAUUUUUGAUGUUUUAGGAACAGUUUAAUUCUGUAAAAUGUAA
rnacentral:tRNA from 1 species